UUAAUUCUAGGUUUAAUUCAGACACAGACGAUAUAUUGCAUAAAUACGACGCCAUAGCGCCGAAGCACGGCUUUAUUCCACGGGUUUUGAGGUCGAAGGCCACAGGUGGCCAUUCAUUAAUGAUCCCUCCGCAGGUUCACCUACGGAGA
rnacentral:misc_RNA from 1 species